rnacentral:rRNA from 1 species
UACAGAGACUGCAAGCGUUAUUCGGAUUCACUGGGCGUAAAGGGUGCGCAGGCGGCCGUAUGUGUGAGGCGUGAAAGCCCGGGGCUCAACCCCGGGAGGCGGAUGGAUACUGCAUGGCUCGAGUACGGAAGAGGCGAGUGGAAUCCCGGUGUAGCGGUGAAAUGCGCAGAUAUCGGGAGGAACACCAAUGGCGAAGGCAGCUCGCUGGGACGUUACUGACGCUGAGACGCGAAAGCGUGGGGAGCAAACAGGG